UACGAAGGGUGCAAACGUUGCUCGGAAUUAUUGGGCGUAAAGCGCACGUAGGCGGCAUUGCAAGUCGGAUGUGAAAUCCCUCGGCUUAACCAAGGAAGUGCAUCCGAAACUGCAGUGCUUGAGUACUUAAGAGGAUCGCGGAAUUCCGAGUGUAGAGGUGAAAUUCGUAGAUAUUCGCAAGAACACCAGUGGCGAAGGCGGCUCACUGGCCCGAUACUGACGCUGAGGCACGAAAGCGUGGGGAGCAAACAGG
rnacentral:rRNA from 1 species